AGAAAUUUAAUAGAAACAAAAAAUUGAAAAAAGAGAAAAGAAACUCAGUUGAGAAUUAGUUGUUGAAGUUGAGAAUUUGUCGAAUUACUUGUAAUGAUUAUUAGGUUCAGUUUUGACUUCGGUUUCGAUUUGGUGCUCAAUACAUUUCCAGCUCACUACAUUUCAAGGUUUCUUUUUCAAAUUAAAGGUAUUUAAAUUUUCACGUUUUGAAUUCUGUUCUACAACAAAAACAUAGUCAUGGAUACACUGACAACAAUUGGUAAAGUUGCAUCUGCAAUUGGUCAAGCUGUAGAUAAGUCAAGCAAAGUAUAAUUAAAAUGUGCAAAAGAAGUGGGGCAUGACAUGCACUGCAACUCAAGAUGAUGUGGAUGCAUUAAUAUCAUGAUAUUAAUAUUAGGAUAUGUGAAUUUUAUCUUAAGCUUUUUUGUUACUCAUUUACUUAAAAAAUGAUGAGAAUUGUCUUACUA